UAAGUGGGACGGACGGUCGCUGCUCUUAUUUUGAGUGGAGGAAAGUCCGGGCUCCAUCGGACACGAUGACGGAUAACGUCCGCCGACCGAAAGGUCAGGGAAAGUGCAACAGAAAGUAAACCGCCGGUAAUACCGGUAAGGGUGAAACGGCGAGGUAAAAGCUCACCGCGAUUUCGGGUAACCGAAUCGGCUAGGCAAACCCCAUCGGGAGCAAGGUCAAACAGAAUCGAGGUUGUCCGAACCGUUAUCAGAUUCGGGUGGACUGCUUGAGGAAUUGGGUAACCGGUUCCCCAGAUAAAUGACCGUCACUCCGGUUCAUUCAACCAGAGUACAGAACCCGGCUUAUAGUCCCGCUUUUUUU
rnacentral:RNase_P_RNA from 1 species